CUACGGGGCGCAGCAGUGAGGAAUAUUGCACAAUGGGGGGAACCCUGAUGCAGCAACGCCGCGUGGAGGAUGACGCAUUUCGGUGUGUAAACUCCUUUUAUAUGUCAAGAAAAUGACGGUAGCAUAUGAAUAAGCACCGGCUAACUCAGUGCCAGCAGCCGCGGUAAUACUGAGGGUGCAAGCGUUGUUCGGAUUUACUGGGUGUAAAGGGUGCGUAGGCGGUAUAGUAAGUGGGAUGUGAAAUCUCCGAGCUCAACUUGGAAACUGCAUUCCAUACUGCUAAACUAGAGUAUCGAAGAGGCAAAUGGAAUUCUUGGUGUAAGGGUGAAAUCUGCAGAUAUCAAGAAGAACUCCAGUGGCGAAGGCGAUUUGCUGGUCGAAUACUGACGCUGAGGUACGAAAGCGUGGGGAGCGAACGGGAUUAGAUACCCGCGUAGUC
rnacentral:rRNA from 1 species